rnacentral:rRNA from 1 species
GACGAACGCUGGCGGCGUGCUUAACACAUGCAAGUCGAACGGAAAGGCCCUGCUUUUGUGGGGUGCUCGAGUGGCGAACGGGUGAGUAACACGUGAGUAACCUGCCCUUGACUUUGGGAUAACUUCAGGAAACUGGGGCUAAUACCGGAUAGGAGCUCCUGCUGCAUGGUGGGGGUUGGAAAGUUUCGGCGGUUGGGGAUGGACUCGCGGCUUAUCAGCUUGUUGGUGGGGUAGUGGCUUACCAAGGCUUUGACGGGUAGCCGGCCUGAGAGGGUGACCGGCCACAUUGGGACUGAGAUACGGCCCAGAAUCCUACGGGAGGCAGCAGUGGGGAAUAUGGCGCAAUGGGCGGAAGCCUGAUGCAGCAACGCCGCGUGCGGGAUGACGGCCUUCGGGUUGUAAACCGCUUUCGCCUGUGACGAAGCGUGAGUGACGGUAAUGGGUAAAGAAGCACCGGCUAACUACGUG